rnacentral:rRNA from 1 species
GAAAAAAUUAGAGUGCUUAAAGCAGGCAUAUGGUCUUGCAUAAUGGUGCAUGGAAUAAUGGAAUAGGACCUCGGUUCUAUUUUGUUGGUUUUCGGAGCUCGAGGUAAUGAUUAAGAGGAACAGACGGGGGCAUUCGUAUUGCGGCGUUAGAGGUGAAAUUCUUGGAUCGUCGCAAGACGAACUACUGCGAAAGCAUUUGCCAAGAAUGUUUUCAUUAAUCAAGAACGAAAGUUAGAGGUUCGAAGGCGAUCAGAUACCGCCCUAGUUCUAACCAUAAACGAUGCCAACCAGCGAUCCGUCGGUGUUCAUUUCAUGACUCGACGGGCAGCUUCCGGGAAACCAAAGUGCUUAGGCUCCGGGGGAAGUAUGGUUGCAAAGCUGAAACUUAAAGGAAUUGACGGAAGGGCACCACCAGGAGUGGAGCCUGCGGCUUAAUUUGACUCAACACGGAAAAACUUACCCGGCCCGGACACUGUAAGGGUUGACAGAUCGAGAGCUCUUUCUUGAUUCGGUGGGUGGUGGUGCAUGGCCGUUCUUAGUUGGUGGAGCGAUUUGUCUGGUUAAUUCCGAUAACGAACGAGACUCUAGCCUGCUAAAUAGCCAACUGAUCCGCUGCGUCGGUUGCUACAAGCUUCUUAGAGGGACAGGCGACGUUUAGUCGCACGAGAUUGAGCAAUAACAGGUCUGUGAUGCCCUUAGAUGCCCGGGGCCGCACGCGCGCUACACUGGUUGAAGCAGCUGGCAUUACGUCUAGGUCGAAAGGCCCGGAGAAUCCGCUGAAACUCAACCGUGAUUGGGAUUGAGCUUUGUAACUAUCGCUCAUGAACGAGGAAUUCCCAGUAAGCGCGAGUCAUAAGCUCGCGUUGAUUACGUCCCUGCCCUUUGUACACACCGCCCGUCGCUACUACCGAUUGGAUGAAUUAGUGAGGCUAUCGGACCGGGCAUCGCG